GAAUAGUUUACAGAAAAGUGAGAAGCCAUGUAGAAUGACUGAGAAAGGGGUCUACUGGGUGAAAUAAAUCUUGUCAUCUUUCAGAUUGGAAGAGAGAGGGAAAAAAAACUCUUUUUCUCUAGUGUUGGGUGGAGAAAAGCAAAUAAUUUUGAGGCUUUCAAAAGCAGGGCAGAGUAAAAAAAAAUGUUUUUUUUUCUUUUUUUGUUAGUUUUUCUUGUUUUCUUAUUCUUGAAGGCUUUGGGAGAAGAGUGAAGGAAGGCAAGCUAAGUUUGUUUGGAAUAGCUGUGAGGCAAAGAAAGGAAAGAUCCUAUAAGAUACCUACCAUGGCCCUGAAGCUCCAUGGCGGACCUUGUACAUCAUUACAGAUAUGCAAGGCAUGUGUUCAUCUGUCAAGCCACUCAGAUGACUUUCACAUACCAUGUAUUCUCCAGUGGGAGAAGAAACCUGCAUCAGAGCAGUUGCAUCUUAUCCACAUGUUAGGGAGAUAACUUGAUCAUCUUGCACCAACGUGACACCAAAGAUGAGAAUCCCUCUUGUGACUUAUGGAGAAUAUUGCUGAGUUGAAAUCAAAAUAUUCAUUCAUGCUGAAAAUAAAGGGACUCUUUUGGUGGUAAUGUUCUUUGAC
rnacentral:lncRNA from 1 species